rnacentral:rRNA from 1 species
GAUGAACGCUGGCGGCGUGCCUAAUACAUGCAAGUCGAGCGAACGGACGAGAAGCUUGCUUCUCUGAUGUUAGCGGCGGACGGGUGAGUAACACGUGGAUAACCUACCUAUAAGACUGGGAUAACUUCGGGAAACCGGAGCUAAUACCGGAUAAUAUUUUGAACCGCAUGGUUCAAAAGUGAAAGACGGUCUUGCUGUCACUUAUAGAUGGAUCCGCGCUGCAUUAGCUAGUUGGUAAGGUAACGGCUUACCAAGGCAACGAUGCAUAGCCGACCUGAGAGGGUGAUCGGCCACACUGGAACUGAGACACGGUCCAGACUCCUACGGGAGGCAGCAGUAGGGAAUCUUCCGCAAUGGGCGAAAGCCUGACGGAGCAACGCCGCGUGAGUGAUGAAGGUCUUCGGAUCGUAAAACUCUGUUAUUAGGGAAGAACAUAUGUGUAAGUAACUGUGCACAUCUUGACGGUACCUAAUCAGAAAGCCACGGCUAACUACGUGCCAGCAGCCGCGGUAAUACGUAGGUGGCAAGCGUUAUCCGGAAUUAUUGGGCGUAAAGCGCGCGUAGGCGGUUUUUUAAGUCUGAUGUGAAAGCCCACGGCUCAACCGUGGAGGGUCAUUGGAAACUGGAAAACUUGAGUGCAGAAGAGGAAAGUGGAAUUCCAUGUGUAGCGGUGAAAUGCGCAGAGAUAUGGAGGAACACCAGUGGCGAAGGCGACUUUCUGGUCUGUAACUGACGCUGAUGUGCGAAAGCGUGGGGAUCAAACAGGAUUAGAUACCCUGGUAGUCCACGCCGUAAACGAUGAGUGCUAAGUGUUAGGGGGUUUCCGCCCCUUAGCGCUGCAGCUAACGCAUUAAGCACUCCGCCUGGGGAGUACGACCGCAAGGUUGAAACUCAAAGGAAUUGACGGGGACCCGCACAAGCGGUGGAGCAUGUGGUUUAAUUCGAAGCAACGCGAAGAACCUUACCAAAUCUUGACAUCCUUUGACAACUCUAGAGAUAGAGCCUUCCCCUUCGGGGGACAAAGUGACAGGUGGUGCAUAGUUGUCGUCAGCUCGUGUCGUGAGAUGUUGGGUUAAGUCCCGCAACGAGCGCAACCCUUAAGCUUAGUUGCCAUCAUUAAGUUGGGUACUCUAAGUUGACUGCCGGUGACAAACCGGAGGAAGGUGGGGAUGACGUCAAAUCAUCAUGCCCCUUAUGAUUUGGGCUACACACGUGCUACAAUGGACAAUACAAAGGGCAGCGAAACCGCGAGGUCAAGCAAAUCCCAUAAAGUUGUUCUCAGUUCGGAUUGUAGUCUGCAACUCGACUACAUGAAGCUGGAAUCGCUAGUAAUCGUAGAUCAGCAUGCUACGGUGAAUACGUUCCCGGGUCU